UGUCAUCAGUUGCUACGAAAGGCACUCUGAUGAGACUGCCGGUGACAAACCGGAGGAAGGUGGGGAUGACGUCAGGUCCUCAUGGCCUUAUGGGUAGGGCUACACACGUCAUACAAUGGCCGGUACAGAGGGCUGCCAACCNGCGAGGGGGAGCCAAUCCCAGAAAACCGGUCGUAGUCCGGAUCGUAGUCUGCAACUCGACUGCGUGAAGUCGGAAUCGCUAGUAAUCGCGGAUCAGAAUGUCGCAGUGAAUACGUUC
rnacentral:rRNA from 1 species